UUUCCGCGAGUUCGCCCUCUCUGGACUGGGGAAGGGCAGGCUCUGGCUGAACCCCGUAUUCGUUACCUCUGGCGGUUCCCGCGCAUCCUUCAGCCUCACCAGGGCCCUCGGAGACCCUCGCCGUCCCCAGGGGUGGUCACAGCAGGUAGAGCCCACGACCGAGGUCCAGGUGGUUUUAUCACCCAAGAGGAGACGGGUUCAUGGACACACACCUCCCUGUCUGCCAGGUGAGCUGCGCCCUCGGCACAUGGAGGUUCCCAGGCUAGAGGUCGAAUCGGAGUUACAGCUGCCAGCGACGCUGCGGCCACAGCAGUGCUGGCUCUGAGCCGCGUCUGUGAUCUGCACCGCGGCUCACCGCAGCGCUGGAGCCCUGACCCAGGGAUCGAGGCCAGGGAUCGAACCCACAUCCUUAUGGAUUCUAGCAGGAUGUGUCUCUGCUGCGCCACGACGGAAACGGCAAAGAUUUAACGUUUUUAAAGAGAAACCAUGAAGUGAGGAAAAGGGUCUGGAAGUGGGUGGCGGUCGCUGCACAAAAACCUGAAUGGAUUUCGACCCCCGAACGGAACACUCAGUAAGAUGAAGACGGUGAGUUUCACGUUCUAAACAAACCCAAAGAAGGAGACCAAAUCCCAAGCAGGCCCCGGGGAGGUUCUGACGGCGCGGGGUCAGUGAGAUGACAGCGGGGAAGUCGGCGGCCGUGGACAGCGCGGGAGGCUGGGCCAUUCAUUGUCCCGAGCCCUCAUCCUGCCGGCCGGCCUGGCCUCAGGACAGGAGAAGGAACCACGGGGGAAGGGGCUCGGUCUGCGGCCCCCACAGGAAGUGCCCUGCCUGGAGAAGAGCCCUCCCCUCUCCCUCGUUCAGGGCCCCUCACCCUGGUUCUCCAACUGUGUUCCCCAGAACCCCAGGGUCCUACAGGCAGACGGGUCCAGGCCCCCUAGUCUGGGGCACCUCCCUCUCUCUGCCUGGCUCUCUGCAGUUGACGCGUGCCUUCUGCCCCCGGCAGUUUCUCGAAGGCAUGGAAACCACAGCGGCUCACAGGUGGAUCUGUUUUUCCGUCUCCUUGUCGGAAGCACCUGCCUGGUGGGGUGUGUGUGUGUGGGGGGGGGGCCUGGGCACUCGGGGCAGGGCUGCUGGAUAGAACAGACCGCACUCAACCCUACCCGGAUCAGCAUCUCCUGCCCCGUCGGCUCUCGGCUCGCCCCCCCAGCCUGGGGCGAGGUGCCUGCACCCCUGCAGCUUCCUCAGCUCCAGUUCCCCAGACAUUUGAGUGCUGGCGCUGAGCGGCUGAGGACUGGGGACCUAGAACCCCUUCCCGCUCAGCCAUCUUCCUGCUCCCAUUUGCUCCCUUCCCGUGACGGGGGACUCAUUUCCUCGUGAGCCAGCCCGUUCUAUUUUCAGACAAUUGUUGGAAAGCGCUUCUCCACCUCCGGCCAGAGGCGGCCUCCCUGGAGCUUCCGCUUGCUGGCGGGGGUCUGCCCCGGGAGAGAGCCUCAGGCCCGGGCGGCCGGGCGCUGGCCUUCCCCAGGCGCUGCGGGAGGAGUCGAGCGCUCGGUGCGGGGAGGCCAGUGAGCAGAGGAAACGCUAACAGAGCGAGCGGAUGGGCUCCCAGCCGCCCUGCCCGGUGUCCGAUCCUGACACUGCCACAGCGUUGAAACCCAGUCCCCAGGCUGCUGGGCCUUCCAGUGUGGGUGACACCGUUUCUAAAUUUAGUGGGCAAGGUAGCUGGGGACCCAGUGGGGCCCCGCACCCUCCACUCGCCCCACCACGAGUGCUGGGACGGGCUGGAGACCCCAACCUCGGCCAGCAGACCUGGCCCCAGAGACCCCGCCCAGGUCGGAGCCCAGCUCGGGGGCCCAGGUCCCAGUUGGGACCAGCUGCUUCCUGCCCGGAGGCCGUUAGACCACACGCAGCUGCAGCCCUGCCCCUCACCCAUCCCCCUCGGGGGCCCGGGCAGGUCCCUCUCCCCUCUGUCCCCUUCCUGCUGCCCACCGGGCCCUGGAAUUCCUGGGGAGCGGGCACUCGACUUCCCUUAGCAGAGCCACAGGGGCCUCAGGGGGGCAUGUGUCCUCAUGCCAACAGCAGGUCAGGAGCCUGGGCCCAGGGUUGUCACGGUGGCUCCGAGUCACAGCCAAGAGGAGCUGGGACCAUGGGGUCAGAGGCCUGGGUGUGCCCACCAGGGUGAAGCAACUCCGGCCGGGACGGCUUCUCUGUUCCAGAUGUGCCUCUAGCCCAGGGCUUUACAGCCGUAUGGCCUGGUCACCCCCGCGUGCACCCUGACCCUGGAUCCCCCAGGAGUCGCGCAGACCAGGUGCUCCCGGGGGCACAGGUGGGAGGCAGGCCACGGAGACAGAUAGGUAAGGAGUAGGCUUUCGGGGGUGGCGAGGGUGGAAAGGAAGCUGUGGGGGCCGCCAGGUCCGGGGCAGGGGCGGGCCGCGGCUCUGGGAGUGAGAGUGGGAGCCCUGGGGCUCCUGGCUCAGAAGCAGCCCAAGGGAGUUCCCCUUGUGGCUCAGCAGGUUCUGAACUCAAGGACCCGGGUUCGAUGCCUGGCCUCACUCAGGGGGUUAAGGAUCUGGCGUUGCUGAGAGCUGCGAGGCGUGGGUCGCAGAUGCGGCUCGGAUCUCGUGUUGCUGUCAUUGUGUGGAGACCGGCAGCUGCAGCUCCAGUUCAACCCCCGGCCUGGGAACUUCCUAUGUUGCAGGAGAGACCCUAAAAAG
ensembl:lncRNA